CCGAGUUUACAACUCCCAACCCACGUGAACAUACCUACUGUUGCUUCGGCGGGAUUGCCCCGGGCGCCUCGCGUGCCCCGGAUCAGGCGCCCGCCUAGGAAACUUAACUCUUGUUUUAUUUUGGAAUCUUCUGAGUAGUUUUUACAAAUAAAUAA
rnacentral:misc_RNA from 1 species